AACAAACGCUCUUUAUGAGACUUAUAAAUAACCAAUAACAUCAAAGUCCCAGCUUUAGCUUCAAAUGCUUUAACUUAUAUGUUAAAUAGAGGGCGCAUGAUGUUAAGAUUAAGUAAGUUCAUAAAAAUAGUCCUAACAUAACUAAAAAGUUAUUGGUGAUGUUAAGAAUCUAGAUAACGUUAUAUUGUUUAUAAAUACGAGUAAUCAGUAAAUGAGAAGUUAGUGAAGAAUUUAUUGAAAUGGUAUUGAGUAGUGAUUGAACAUUCAGUAAAACAUUCAAUGUGUGAAAGGUUAAGUAGUUGUUGAUCGAGAGAACACUGAUGGAGUAAAGUUUUAUCAGUGAGUACAUUUUUGGUUGUUUGGUUUGAACUUCUCGCAAAAAUACACGAGAGCUAUCUGCACUAGCAGUUUAUGAUUUAGCAAUGAUAAACUAGAGAAAGGUCAGCUAAUCAACACUGCCUACCGCCAAUUAUUGGACUACUCUUUUACAAACAAAUAGUUAGAUUGACGGACACAUUAUAAUGCCCCCAUGGCUGAAAGGGCGAGCAUGAUCGGUGACUGGGAUUCGAACCCGCGAACCACAGAUGAUAAGUGUUGUGUCCCUAUCAUCAAGCCAUGAAGGUCGAUUGCCAGAACAAUUGAAGAUCAUGGUGGAGAGAUGCCACCUUGGCUGAAAAUGCUGGCCAAAGAGCCCAGCUAAUGUUCAGCCUUUUCUUCACUUGAUUAGUGAAACAGAUGCUGGAUGUCAAGCUCGAGGUUCACCAAUGUUGGAUAAUUAUGGCAGCACUCAGGAACUUAGUUGCCAUUAAACUACAAUACCACUCACCAGUAACUGGUGGAAAUGCUAAUACAAAUGUUGAGAGACCAUUCUACCUACAGACCUGUUGAAAAUUCAUCAGUUUACAUCACUGCCGUCAACCCACUACCCCUGCCCGUUGAGAAGUUCAGCAGUUUACAGGUUACACACCAGCCAAACUUCACUUGGGACAGACUGAUGAAAUACCUCAAUCUAUAGAUGAACAAACAGCAGAAUUACAAGAUGUCAUACAGAAGGCAAAUUCCAAUGUUGAAAAGGCUCAGAAGUGACACCAACAAGCUUACAACCCAAAAAAGAUACCCAGACAUCUUUAAAGUGAUGUCUCUUUUUACCUGCACAGAUGUUUCAGCACUGUGUGUGUAAAAUCCAGGUUGAAUGGUUUUACAUUGAAAUAUCCUAGGAUGGCCAAUUAUUGCAGGUGUAUCUGUCUGAUACUUGUCAGGAGACUGGUUUUAUCUGAAAAUACCAUGUUAGCAUGCAGGAUUUAUGAGAAGACAGAGAACAGAACUAAGAAACUUUUAUUUCUCUUUUUGUUAAUGUUGUUUUCUUGAUGAUGUAUAAUUAUAGGAAUUCUGAUAGUACUUACAGGAUUGAAUAUACUCCUAGGCAAAGUUUGUUAUAUCUGAGAAUUAUCCUGGGGUUGUAACAAUUUCUAAUUUUGUUGUAUUCUCAGAAGAAACUGACAUGUGAGAAUUAAUUGUAGAAACAGGAACAUUUUGAAGUUUUUUGUAAAGUGUGAAUAAAACAAACUCGACAAAAGAGA